rnacentral:sRNA from 1 species
AGAAGACCUCCCGUAGAUCAAGGCUGAAGCAAACGCAGGUUGUAAAAAAGCGGGAUGACGUUGAUACCGUCACCCCGC